GACGAACGCUGGCGGCGUGCUUAACACAUGCAAGUCGAACGGAAAGGCCCUGCUUUUGUGGGGUGCUCGAGUGGCGAACGGGUGAGUAACACGUGAGUAACCUGCCCUAGACUUUGGGAUAACUUCAGGAAACUGGGGCUAAUACCGGAUAGGAGCUCCUGCUGCAUGGUGGGGGUUGGAAAGUUUCGGCGGUUGGGGAUGGACUCGCGGCUUAUCAGCUUGUUGGUGGGGUAGUGGCUUACCAAGGCUUUGACGGGUAGCCGGCCUGAGAGGGUGACCGGCCACAUUGGGACUGAGAUACGGCCAGACUCCUACGGGAGGCAGCAGUGGGGAAUAUUGCACAAUGGGCGGAAGCCUGAUGCAGCAACGCCGCGUGCGGGAUGACGGCCUUCGGGUUGUAAACCGCUUUCGCCUGUGACGAAGCGUGAGUGACGGUAAUGGGUAAAGAAGCACCGGCUAACUACGUG
rnacentral:rRNA from 1 species